rnacentral:rRNA from 1 species
CAAAUUUAAAAUCUACCUGGUUUCCAGGUCGAGUUGUAAUUUGAAGAUACGUUUUUGACGUUCCGGGUUGAACUAAAUCCUUUGGGAUAAGGUAUCAUGGAGGGUGAGAAUCCCGUAUAUACCAACCRUAGGGAUGUUAUUUAAUACGUUUCUAAGAGUCGAGUUGUUUGGGAAUGCAGCUCUAAAUGGGUGGUAAAUUUCACCUAAUGCUAAAUAUAAGCGAGAGACCGAUAGCGAACAAGUACAGUGAUGGAAAGAUGAAAAGAACUUUGAAAAGAGAGUUAAAUAGUACGUGAAAUUGUUGAAAGGGAAACGAUUGAAGUCAGUCAUGCCAGUGGGAAUCAACUUAGAGGAAACUCUGAGUGCACUUCUUCGCUUGGCAGGUCAACGUCGAUUUUGGAUGUCAUAAAAUGAUUGGGGGAAGGUAGCUCYUUCGGGAGUGUUAUAGCCCUUGGUAGAUGUGAUGUCUGGGAUCGAGGAUUGCAAUGGAUACCCUUUGGGGCUAGCCGCCUGAUCUCUAAUCGGUAUUGGGUUACGGAUAGCAUGCUGACCGUGAUCUAAUUAUUGGUUAAAAGGUUA